rnacentral:misc_RNA from 1 species
UGGCAUUCCUUUGAAAUAAACAUCAUAAUGAUCAGCAUUUAACAAUGUUGUUGAUGCUCCAAAAAUGGUGGGAUCAAGGGCUAGUUCACCAAUCCCUGCUGCAGUUUCUGGAAGAGGAUUCCCUGCACUGUCAAGAAUCAACAGAGUGCAGCCCAUAGCUGGUGUACUAAACGCCGCCAAUGCUUGAGCCUGCAGUAGUGAACCAGAA